rnacentral:lncRNA from 1 species
GGGGGGUCCACCAUUAUCAUGAGAUAGGAGCCAAUCAAAAUGAUCCACGCACAACAUUUUCCGCGCUUAGCAUGUGCCCAUGGGCACACCAUAGAAAAACCGAUAAUGAUAUAUGAAUAUUAUUUAAAAUACAGCAAAAACUAGAGCCCCGUGCCUCGCACGGGCUUUUAUGCUAGUUUUAUAUAUGAUAUGACAAUCAAGAUUUUAGCUAAAAAAUUCUAUUAGCAGCGAUUAAUGAGCAAACAAAGCACAAAACCAAAAGAAUACACAAGGUUCGAGAUCCGAAUUAAGCUAAUUGCACGCCAUGUGCUCUACUUAUACACAAGACGCAUGCAAGAUAUCCACAUCCUUCACAUUCCAAAAAGAACUGAUUUAUGUGCCCAUAUCCACAUAUUGCACAUGACAAGGUUGGAGAAUUCUUUCUUUUAGUGUUGUUCUUUACGACCAAGGUAAGUCUGUGUGUUUGAUUGUCAACAAUAUGUUCGAUUGUUCCUCCUAGCUUGGAAUUAUCGUAUGAACGUAGGCAACCGUUGUGAAAAGACUGAUCACAUUCAUCACAAUGAUAAAGCCACCACUGAUUAUUAACUUGUUCUUCACAAAUUUGACAAUAGAAUACUCCCUCGUAGAAGAAUGGAGGGAGUCUCAAGAUUAGAGAGUGAUCGUCAUAUUUGUGUUUCAUCCCGCUUGGGUAAAAUGCACAAUAUAUACUAAUCUCGAAACUGCUGCAAGUUUCGCAUGCAUAUACCAAUUUACCAGUAAUAGAUGAACCAUUUACACAACAAUAUUUUCUGGUGGAUGGGCGCUAAAUGAGGGAGUGGUGUUUGUGAGAUUGAUGCCUAAUUCUCGUGGGCAAGAAUACACAGCCGAUAUCGACCUUGAUAUCACAAGUCUUACAUUCAUAGUAGAACCCAUUCGUGGAGUAGCUGCAAAUUCCGCAUUUCACAAAAUGAUAGAAUUUAAACGGCUGGGUGAGAAAGAGUGAAUGGUGGGGGUGAAAAGGAGAUGCUCCUGCAGGCAACUCACGUGGCAGCUUAUUGGCACAGAAGGAGUGGAGGAAGAAACCACAUUCCACACACGCAUAGUAACUUGGAUGAGAAAUCGUUAUGGGUUGAACGCACCCAUCACAUAUCGACGCCCUUUUAUCAGCAUUAUUUUCAUUGUUAUCAUCUUCGUCGUUAUCAUCCCAACUAACAGUGAACUGGAGCAGUUCUAGUGGAUGCUCCUCGUGACUCCAAUGUCCUACAAUAAUACAUGGAUCGUCGUUUACUGUUGAUAAAGUGGCCCUGUUCUCAUCAUCACCUUGAAUAUCAACUUGAAACUUGCUAUACUGGGUAAUAAUUAGGGGUGAGCAAAAAAAACCAAAAAACCGAAACCGAGCCGAAAAACCGAAAAACCACACCCAAAAAAACCGAAACCGACAAAAACCAAAAAAAACCGUAGCUCAACCGAACCGACGGUUAACCGAACCGACGGUUACGGUUUUACACCUAAAACCGAACCGAAAAACCGAACCGCUUAUAUAAUAUUAUAUAAUUUAUUAUAUAUUAUAUAUCGAAAAACCAAAAAACCGAAACCGAGCCGAAAAACCGAAAAACCACACCCAAAAAAACCGAAACCGACAAAAACCAAAAAAAACCGUAGCUCAACCGAACCGACGGUUAACCGAACCGAAAAACCGAACCGCUUAUAUAAUAUUAUAUAAUUUAUUAUAUAUUAUAUAUCUUAUAUAAAAUAAAUUAUUACAUUGGUAUUAUUGGUAUAUUAUCUGCUAAGUAAGGAACUAUCCACCUCAACUAUAGUCACAAGUCAGCAAGUUAUGGUAGUUUGUUAUAUUUAAGUAGAGAGAGAGUAGUAGAGUAGUUAGUAAUUAACAUCAUUUCCAUAAAGAAAUACUGUGUAACUAAGCCUUGUAUUGAAUUCUGAUAAUUUCUAAGUAAUGCAAAUUCGUUUCCUUCAAAAAAAGGGCUGAUUCAUACUUUACAUUUCUGGAUCAUCUUUACAUACCGUAAUAGUGCUCAUCUACUUCAUUUCGAUUAUAUUAAUAAGUAUUUAUAUUUUAAAUAUUUUCUUUCUUAUUUAUUUUGGUAAAAUACGUACUAAUGAAUAAUAUUUAAUUAGUGAUUAUACCUUAUUUUUUAUUAAAAAAAUUUUGAGUUGAUUAUUAAAUUUGUAUAAUAUUUUUAUUAUAAGAAACCGAAAAAAACCGUAACCAAACCGACGGUUAACCGAACCGAAAAAAACCGUUUGAAACGGUUCGGUAACGGUUUUAAGGUAGAAACCGAACCGAACCGACAUGUACGGUUCGGUAACGGUUUUAGCUAAAAACCGAGCCGAACCGACCCGUGCACACCCCUGGUAAUAAUAAGAUCAAAUAGUGAUUCCACGCCCGGUAGAGGAAAUUGUACCAAAUCAGAACCAUUAUGAACGAUGGCAUUUUCUUCCAUCUCGUCUCUGAAAACAGCAAACAUGAAUUUAGUAUAGGGGUAAUAAUCAUAUAAACAUGAUCAGAUCAGAAAAUAAAAAAACAAUGGAUCUAGAUAACAAGAAAUAAAACAAGAAAGGCACUGACUGGAAAGAUAUUGUGGACGUAGAACAAUUUAAAUGCACAAAGAAUGUGCAUUUGUGACAGUAAUAUGACCAACUGCGGGUUGGAAUCCAUUCUUUGCAGACGGCGCAGUCACGAAAGAAGUAGCGAUGCUGGAGUGGAACAGAGAAGAUAAGAGUGAGGGGAUGAUGGUGAUAAGUAGGAGCUGGAAUGAUUGGUGGAGAAGCAGCACACUUUUUGUGGAUCCAGAAAUCACAGGGGAGGCAUACAUAGGAAUAAUCUUCGGUUCUCUCGUAACAAGCAUUACAGCUAAACAAAGCUUGCCUCUGCAGUGUGAGUGUGUGCUCUGGAUGACCUUGAUGACUAAUCACUCUGUCUUUAGAACCAAAAGCACAAAUGACACAUAUGUCAAUAUCACAAUCCUCACAUCCAUAAGUGAAAUUCACAGCAGGACGAAGACAAAUAUCACAACGGCAACUCGAAGACCGUGGUUGGAGAGCAAGCGGGUGUGGGUCUUUCAAAUGGCGAACAAUUUGUGUGGGAAGUUGAGCACAGCUCUUAUGGAGGUAGAAACUCUGACAACCGAUAUUGUUGCUAGUGCAUGUAUAUGUAGGAAAGCCAAUAACGGAUUCGCCGCAAAGAGAACAGAUAGCAUCAACUUCAAUAAUAUCAUCCUCUUUCAAUCUCAGAGGGUGCUCGGGGUGGCUAAAGUGCUCAACUGUUGAACCAGACAUUAUUCCAGAUGAUAAGAAAUAAAAAUGAAGUGAUUUUUGUUAUAGCUUUUGUUAUAGCUCGGGGUGAUUUUCUUACUCCAGAUGGAAUUUUUAAACAAGUGCGAGUAAUCAAAACAUAUAUCAUCAAAAGUUUAAUGUGAUUAGAAAUAAUAAUAGUUUUUUUCAAAAAAAAGAAAAGAAAUAAUAAUAGUUGUUACUUUGGAAUAGGCAUAUGAAGAUUCCUAUAGUUAUUAUAAUAAUAAAAUAAUAUUUUCUCCAUUUUAAAAUAAUAAUUAUUUUAAUUUGUUACAUGUGAUUUUUUUUUUUUUGGUCACAAGAUACUUUCUCGUAUAACGAAUUGUAUCGGAAUACAAAGGCCGCUGCAAGGAGUUCCUUUCGUUCAAGAAAGUUUACCAUCUAACCCUCGGACAUGCAGAGAUGACCGGGGACACUUAGACAAUAAAGCUUUAAUGUUCGAUAAGAAAACACCCAUAAAGGUCCCGCUAUCAUUCUUUCUUCCACUCGCAUACCUGAAAAAAUACAAUACAAAUAAAACAUAAUAAGUUCAUACAUACAGCAAAAUAAUAAAACUAUCUAAAAUGAUGGAGGAAAAAAGUUAACAAACUCAUAAAAAAUAUGAAUAUGAUAUAAUUUUAAAGAAUAAGAAAAUUAAAAUCAAAAGCUUAUAUAAACAAAUCACUAAAAAAAUCUACACCAAAGAGAUAAUGAGAUCUCUUUGGUUAGAUACAUAAUAGGACCAUCAGAAAAUAACUAAUAAUUAUGUCAAUAAAUAUUUAAAAAUAUAAAUAAGAAAUUAUAAAUAAUUUUUUUGUCAGGAAAUUAUAAAUAAAAUUUGAAAGCAUAGGUAAGAUAUAUCUAAUCAAAUAUUCUUCACAAACAAAUUUUCCACGAUUUUAGCUGUCUAUCUAUCAGCACAACAUAAAUUUGGUAUACACGAAUCAAAACAAUCCACCAUUAAUGGCGCAUUAAUACCUCAUAAAGGCACAAUAAAACCAUCUUAUAUGGCCCCAUGAAUAAUGAAAUUCAGGUACAAUAAUCGGUAAUAAAGAUUCUAUCAAUUAAUCUUUUAAUAAAAGCACAAAUUUUCAAAUUAAAACAUGUAUAGAAGGUCAAAAUCAAAGAUAAACAAAUUUAAAAAAGUCAACUAACCAUUCAAGAUCACUAAACUUAAGCUCUCCAAUUACUAUUAUUUAAAUCAAAUCAUAUCCAAAAUUACAAAGCAAAAACUAAUAUCACGCAAUAAAAUUAGUCAAUCAUUUAUAACAUGCACUAAUUAAGUCACCCCUCCCACAACCUCCACCGCCACUAUCCAAAAACCGCAAACAAUAAUCAAGAACACAUGCGAAACAGUAAUAGACGCACAUGAACAUGAAGAAGCAGAACACGUAAAAUGUAACUAAUCAUAUAAUAUAGGAUUAACAACACAUAUCCAAUCUACUCAAAUUCAAACAAAUAUAGAUUGAAAAGGACGAAAUAGGAUACAAAGCAACCCAAUUAUCGCUAAUCAUGAAAUAUGAACCACACGUAAUAUAUACCGUAAAACAAUAAACAAUCACAUAAUUGUAAUCAUAUAGAUUUUUGUUUUGAAAAGAUCACACCUGUUUUUUUAAAAGUAUUUUUGCAGAUUUGAGCCAUGACAAUCUUGAGCACUUUGAGUCGGUUAAAAUUAAUCCCACGCACACUUGAAUUUAUCUCAUCGGAUCAAUCCCAAAUAUCUCCAACCCAAAAGAGCAUCCGCCUGCCUUGAUCUCGAAAACCGCAGAUACACCAUUGACCAUCAAUUGAGUAUGUUAAUAUAACCAAAACAUAUCCUUGCAGAGAUUUGAUUCAUAAUGAAAAGAUGAAAUUGUUCGCAUCCAAAAAGAAAAAUGAAACGCUGUUUGCAUCCAGGGGUGUGCCACAAACCAGUAAACUAGGUUACUAUCAAUCGGAAUUCGACCCACUGAAACAUUGUUUCUCCUCAUACUGUUAGAGCAUCUCCAACGGUGUUGGCUAUAAUCGUUGGCUAAAUUGGACCUGUAAGACGUUAUGUAAAAUUUGUUGAACCUGUAAGACAUUUCUCUUCAAUGGUAUUGGCUAUAUUGGUUGGCUAUAAUUUAAAAAUAGCAUGUUAUUAAUAUUUUACAUUGUUAAAAUAGAAUAUAUCAGUUCAAUAUGGUAAUAAAUGAUGUGCAAUCUUCCUACAGAUUUCUUACAGACCUGUAGAGGUUCGACAAAUUUAGCCAUCCAUAGGAGGUUGGCUAAAUUUAUAGACAACAGGUCACUGUGGUUGGGGUGUGAAUUUUUGAAGUGGUUGGCUAAAUUUUUUAUUUUUGGCAUGACAACUCACCUUUUAGCUAAGGAGUCUUCGUGGUUGGAGAUGCUCUUAUGUGCUUUCUUGUUUCAGUUUGUUACAUGUGAUUUAAGGUAUAACAAAAAUAUACUUUUAUAUAUUUUUUUUUAUUUUUCUUCAUAGAACAAAGUUUUAACAAAUAUAUUUUUAUUCAUAAAAUUUUUUUGACAAUAAUGUGUAGAGAUAUAUUUUUAUGACAUCCCAAAUUACGUGAAAAAAUCAAAUUGACUAUUAUUUUGAAAUUGAAAGAAUAUAUUUUACUGAUAACAAAUAAUAAUAAUAAUAAUAAUAAUAAUAAUAAUAAUAAUAAUAAUAAUAAUAAUAAUUUAAUAUAUACAGUAACCGAUAGUUAUAGACAUCGAAACUAACACUUUCAAAUUCAUCAAAUGUAAAAUAGUAUUUGUUUAUUUUUUCGACAUUUUUGACAAUGCUCUUAAUAUUUUACAUAUUAAAAAUUAUGUCUAACUUAAUAUAUAUAAUUAUUUUAUAUCUUUUAUGAAACAUCGGUGUUAAUCCGAUCCUAUACUUAUUCAUCUCCUAUACUCAUUAACCAAAAAAAGGUGUACCUAACCUAAAUUUGUCUUAUUGAUUCAAUAGUUUAUAGAAAAACAUCUGAUGUCACCAUUUUUAUAAUAAACUACUAGGGUGGUUGAAAUUUAUAAUUUCUCAGUUCAAUUAUUUGCGUGGAUUAUUUUCGGAUUUUGUAUUAUUAGAAGCAAAACAUAUUUAAAACAAAACUAAAAUCCCAGUGUUGGAGUUGUUGAAAGGUCCGCCGAAUUUAAAAGUUUCCCGUACGUCAGCUUACCUUACCAAAUCAAUUUUGUAUGCAUCGGUUACAAAUAGUUAUAAGUCAACUAUGUAAAGUGAGAGCAUCUAAAUUCAUUAAUACUAAUAAUUAUCAUAUAUCACAAAUAAAAAAAUAUAGAUAAUAUCAAAACACGUGCAUUUCAAUAAUACUCUGUUUAGUGAAAAGUACAGUGAACUUAAAAUGAUUGAUUAUAUUUGAUCAUUCUCUGAAAGUGAGCAGUGAGAUUUCAAAUCAUUUUUUUUACAUAUUAAAUAAUAUAUUUUAUUUAAAACAACUAAAAUAAGAAGUAUAUACUAUAUUUAAAAUAUAAUCAAGGUCAUUAGAACACAAUAUGCUACAUGCUUUGACAAAUUUACAUAUUAUGUUACCCGUCCAUUUUAAUCAACAAAUUUAGUCAAUACUGUCUGAGAUAUUAUAAUAGAAAACUCAUCCAAAGAACAUUAAUAUUUCACUCAGAAAAAAGAACAUAAAUAUUAGUCAUGUUAUUCUUGAUAUGAAUUAUGCUUAAAUUAAUGUGGAUAAGCAUGCAUAAUACAUUAAUCGAUUCUUAGAGUAAAACUAAUGAAAUUACUCCCUCGUCUCUUUUUUUAGUUGUCAUAUUUACAAAAAACCACACAUAUUAAAAAAAAUUAAAUUUGGUAAGUUGUUUCCAUGCAUAUAUUUGUUUAUUACAUUAAAUGUUAAGCCAUAAGUCAAAUAUUGAAACUAACAUUCAAGGGAUAAGUAUAGAAAAAUAGGUAUAAAUAUGUAUUGGAACAGAAAUGAGAUAAAUAUUUAAGGACAAUAUUUUUUUACAAAUGUGACAACUAUAAAAAAUGACGGACAAAGUAUAUUCUUGUUAAUGGUACUGCAGUUUUUUUACAUAAUAGAAGGAACUCACAGCAGCAGACUAAAAUGGUAUAUAUCCUGAACACCAUAAUAAAUAUUAAAAAUAAAUUAUAAAAUUAUAUUUUAGAGCAGUGUUAGAUUGCGUCCCAUUCCCUGCCCAUACAAAUCAGGGAGCUGAUGUUAGGGAUCUCAAGAUGGUUCUAUAGACUUCAAUUAUGCAAUUAUCCAAAGAUGCUGAAAAUUAAGUUUAAUUUUUUUAGAACAUAAUUAGCUUGUCAAGCUGGCCUAUGAGUUAUGUGUCGGCUUGUUGUAUACCAAUUUCACACAGACGCGGAAUCCACAGCGGUCACAUUACAAGAAGUAUUCAAAAAGUAUAUACACUUCCACAUUCGCAACACAAGGAAUGAGGAGGGUCCUUGUAUAUGCACUCCCCUUUAAAACCAGUGCAAGUUUGUGUGGUUGAGUGCUGAUAUUAUACUCAAUGGUGCCUCCUAACUUGACGUUUUCGUAGGGACGGAGGCAAUUGAAGUGAAAAGAAUGAUCACACUUACCACAAAUGAUAGAGCCACCACUGAUUGUUACUCCCUCCCUCCGUCCCUAUUUAUCUGUCCACUUUGAAAGGAAAAAUUUGUCCUCAUUUAUCUGUACAUUUAUACUUUCAAAACUAAUUUAAUGAUAGUUUUUCAAAUAUAUCUCCAUAAUUUCAAUUUUCAAGCCUUGACUUAUUUAAAACUUGGUUGAAUUCAUGUUUUCAAGACAUAAAGUAGGGGUAUUCCACCAUUUUUAAGAUAUUAAUUAGAGGUAUUUAAUGAAAAAGUUUAUACAAUCAAUUAUUCCUUGGUAUGUGUUUUUUUUUUCCAAAAUGGACAGAUAAAAAGGGACGGAGGGAGAAACUUGUUUUUCACAGUAGAAUACACCCUCGUAGAAGAAUAUGGCGGGUGUCUCAAGGUCAUGGGGUGAUUAUCAUAUCUGUGUUUCAUUCUGUGUGGAUAAAAUGCACAGAAAAUAUGAAUCUGGAACCCAAUGCAAGUUUCGCAUGAAUAGGCACACAAUCAAUAAUUCCGUACCUACUUACACUACACUCAGAUUUAUAAAAGUGACGUUGAACAAGAGAGUGGUGUUUGUGAAAUUCAUGUUUUAUCCUGUUGGGUAAGAAUGCACAGCGGAUAUCGACUUUGAUAUCACAAGUCACGCGAUAUUAUAAUGCUUUUUAUUCAAAUUCACAAGUAAAUGAAUAUGGUAUCGUAUUCAUAUGAGUGGAAAUAAUAUUUUACAAAUUUGAUCAUCACAUGGAUAAUUUAUUCUAUUUCACAUAAUUUUAAAUAUUUAAAUACAUAUUCAGUGAAAUAUUUUAAAAAUUAUUCUUAUGUAAUAUAACAGAAAAGUUGAGAAUGCAAUCGAAUAUGAAUAAACCAAACUCGUACAACAAAAUAUGCGAUUUAUAUUACUUUUACAAUGAAUAACAAAGAAGUCCUUACUUAAUUUGAAUUAAGUAAUAAAAAAAUCAAUACCUCAAUUCUUUAUAAUUCUCGGAAAAAAUCAAAUGUACUUGAAUUAUCAUGGUGAAGAUUUCAUCUGAAUUGCUUUCCUUAUUAUACAGCUGCAACUUGCAUGGUUCAAUUUGUUAAGUUUAUCUGUUUUAAACUUUUUGUUUGGAAUAAAAGGUAAUUCAGCUGUACUACUAGGAGAAUUCUAUCAUUAUAUGAGAAUGAUAAAAACUAGGAAGCAUAUUACUGAGUAAGUAUACACUCUGUCGAUGAGAACAACGGUGAUAUUACUUGAGAAGUAUAAAAAAAAAAAAAAAUAGCAAAUUUUAGCAAACAAAUCACGAAAUCGAAAGAAUACAAAAAACAGAUGACGAGGGAGGGGAGAUCCGAAUUAAGCCUGGGGAGAUCAAAACUUAUUUGCACCAUGUACUCUUCUUAUACAGAAGACGCAGGCAAGAUAUCCACAUCCAUCACAUUCGAAAAAGAACUGAUUUCUGUAGCCAUGUCCACAAAUAGCACAUGAGAAGGGUGGAGUUUUCCUUCUUGUAGUUGUCUUUAAAACCAGUGCAAGUGUGUGUGGUUUAUUGUCAAUACUAUGCUUGAUUGUUCCUCCUGGUUUGACAUUAUUGUAUGAACAUUGGCAAUAGUCGUGAAAAGACUGAUCACAUUUGUCACAAUGAUAAAGCCACCACUGAUUAUUCACUUGUUCUUCACAAAUUUGACAAUAAAAUACUCCCUCGUAGAAGAAUGGAGGGAGUCUCAAGAUGAGAGAGUGAUCGUCAUACUUGUGUUUCAUCCUACUUGGAUAAAAUGCACAACAUAUACUAAUCUCGACGCUACUACAAGUUUCGCAUGCAUAUACCAAUGUAUCAGUAAUAGAAAAACCACUUACAGGACACGUUUCACUGGUGGAUGGGCGCUGAAUGAGGGAGUGGUGUUUGUGAGAUUGAUGCCUAACUCUGGUGGGCAAGAAUACACAGCGGAGAUCGACCUUGAUAUCACAAGUCUUACAUUCAUAGUAGAACCCGUUCGUGAGGCUAUUGCAAAUUACGCAUUGCACAAAACUAUAGAAUUUCAGGAGCUGGUUGAGAAGGAGUGAAUGGUGGGGGUGAAAAGGAGAUGCUCCUGCAGGCAACUCACGUGGCAUCUUAUUGGCACAGAAGGAGUGGAGAAAGAAACCACAUUCGACACACGCAUAGUAACUUGGAUGAGAAAUCGUUAUGGGUUGAACGCACCCAUCACAUAUCAACGCCCUUUUAUCAACAUCAUUGUCAUUGUUAUUAUCGUCGUCAUUCUCAUCUACACUAACAGUGAAGUGGAGCCGUU